AUGUAUCUUACUAUUCAAGAAUUUCCACAAACUGUUAUUUAACAAGGGAAUAAUAAAUAACUAUUUGGCGGUAAUUUAAUACAAUCUCAAAACACUUAUUUUGUAUAGACCAGGGUUUCUCAACCUUGGCACUACUGCCAUUUGGGCUGGGUAGGCCUCACAAUCAUGGCAGAAGGCAAGGAGGAGCAAGUCACAUCUUAUAUGGAAGCCAGCAGGCAAAAAGA
rnacentral:lncRNA from 10 species